AGGCCACAUUUGUUUUUACGAAAGUGCUUUUCGGAUUAUUGGGGCGUAAGCGAGCGCAGGCGGUCUUUUAAGUCUAAUGUGAAAGCCUUCGGCUCAACCGAAGAAGUGCAUUGGAAACUGGGAGACUUGAGUGCAGAAGAGGACAGUGGAACUCCAUGUGUAGCGGUGAAAUGCGUAGAUAUAUGGAAGAACACCAGUGGCGAAGGCGGCUGUCUGGUCUGCAACUGACGCUGAGGCUCGAAAGCAUGGGUAGCGAACAGGAUUAGAUACCCUGGUAGUCCAUGCCGUAAACGAUGAUUACUAAGUGUUGGAGGGUUUCCGCCCUUCAGUGCUGCAGCUAACGCAUUAAGUAAUCCGCCUGGGGAGUACGACCGCAAGGUUGAAACUCAAAAGAAUUGACGGGGGCCCGCACAAGCGGUGGAGCAUGUGGUUUAAUUCGAAGCUACGCGAAGAACCUUACCAGGUCUUGACAUCUUCUGACAGUCUAAGAGAUUAGAGGUUCCCUUCGGGGACAGAAUGACAGGUGGUGCAUGGUUGUCGUCAGCUCGUGUCGUGAGAUGUUGGGUUAAGUCCCGCAACGAGCGCAACCCUUAUUACUAGUUGCCAGCAUUAAGUUGGGCACUCUAGUGAGACUGCCGGUGACAAACCGGAGGAAGGUGGGGACGACGUCAAAUCAUCAUGCCCCUUAUGACCUGGGCUACACACGUGCUACAAUGGAUGGUACAACGAGUCGCGAGACCGCGAGGUUAAGCUAAUCUCUUAAAACCAUUCUCAGUUCGGACUGUAGGCUGCAACUCGCCUACACGAAGUCGGAAUCGCUAGUAAUCGCGGAUCAGCAUGCCGCGGUGAAUACGUUCCCGGGCCUUGUACACACCGCCCGUCACACCAUGAGAGUUUGUAACACCCAAAGCCCGGUGGGGUAACCUUUUAGGAGCUAGCCGUCUAAAGUUAAACACAUAUUU
rnacentral:rRNA from 1 species